UGUAGCUAGGGGAUAGCCGGAGGUGUGCCCGAGGGUGUGCCUGUAUCAUUUUUCUAAGUAGAUUUCCAUGUUCACAUGGAGUUUCAGCCAUCAUCGAAAGGAAUUUACGAAUAGAAUCAUUUGUGCAUGAGGCAUACACAAGAGAGCUAUAUAUUUUGGCAUAUGGCAGAAAUAUUUCACCAAUCCCUAGAAUGAGACAAUGGCCUAGGACAAUAUACCCACAACCAGCACCUCCAAAGACAAGAAUUAUGAAAGGAAGGCCAAAGAGGAGUAGAAAGAGAGAAAUUGGAGAGGAAGAUGCUGCAAAUAUGAGGGUUCAGAGAAAGAAAAUGUAGAAUAAGUGUAAAAGAUGUGGGCGGUUGGGUCACAAUAAUAGAACUUGCAAAAAUACACCAAACAGAGAAAGAGCCUCCAAAAGCAAACGGGGUAGACCAAGAAAGCAUUCACUAAAGAGCUUUUCACAACAAAAUAUGCCAAAGCAAUAUAGCGGUGCCUAGAGAAGAAGAAAACCAGGAACCAAGAAUAGAAUGCCCCACUGCUCAAAUGAACAAACCCCAACCCUAGUACUCCGACAUGUGAUCAGGUAUAUAUUUGCAAGCGAAAUAAUUGGUUGCAUUAUGUAUAUAUCUGUGCCAACCUAUUUCAGUAUUCAUUGCAAGGACAAGCUUCCAACUCAACACUUAACAACCACUACCCCGCAAACAUACGACUAUUACGCUAGCAUUCCAAAUACAAAUACAAGGUCCUUAUGUACCCCCUAUUAUUCAGAAGUCUUCAAUUCCUUCUUUACCACAGCUACAACUCAUUUUACACAACAAGCUCCCUCUCCUACACCGAUGCCUACAACAAGAAGCCACCAACCUCCACCUAAUACAGUAGGAGGGUUUUUAACUUGCCAACGGUACUUGGCGGAGGCAAAGUAUGCAUCAACAGAACUCAGCUGAGAGAGGCAGCUCAGCAACUGCAGCAAGGCAAGGGGAAAAAAAUCUCUCAAACCAAAUUUGGAGACCAUGGCAGGAAUGUGGUCAACUUUUGUGAACUACCAUGACAUAAGAAAUAUGGUCAACUUUUACGAGCUACACCAACAUAGAAUAUGGCCAACUUUUGUGAGCUCUGGGAUUGCUUUGAAUACUAACAAAGCAAUUUAAUAUGGUAGCUGAAUCUUUUUGUCUUUGGUUGUUGAUUUAGUAAGGUGAUUCUUGUGAACAAUGAAUGAUCUUAGAAAACUCUAUGAUAGAAUCAGUUGUGUGAUAGAAUCAGUUAUGAA